rnacentral:tRNA from 1 species
GAGAGAGAAGCAUAAGUGGUUUUAUAUGCGACUGGCUUGAAACCAGUAUAUGAGGGUUCGAUUCCUUCCUUUCUUG